rnacentral:tRNA from 1 species
UCCCUGGUGGCUCAGAGGUAAAGAAUCCACCUGCAGUGUGGGUGACCUGGGUUCAAUUCCUGAUUUGGGAA